UAAGUGUCAGUAUUUGGAUUUCCUGAAGAUGUUCUCCCAGUUCUCCAUAAACACAUCUACGUUGUUUCAUUAGCAGUGCAAAGUGAAGACGAAGACUUUUCUUGGCCAUUGCUUGACCCUGAGCAAAGCUGUGAAUAUAGUUGAGUGAUUCUCCAGACAGACCAGCUGCAGAGUUUCCCUCCUAGAGGGGGACAGAAAGAGACUUUCAGUCCUCUCAGGCUGAAAUGGGAGAACCAUCCUACCUUGAAUAAAUGGGCCCAUUGUUAAUUUUAA